CAAAUCUAGGCAUGAUUUGACCUAGUUGCAACAGAACGGGCCACGGGUACCAGACCGACCUCACCCAACGCUGAGCUGCUGGAACGGGACCUAAGCCUCGGUAUACUGUAGCCGUGAUUUAAAGGAAAGCGUCUGCGCACACAGACCGGGAAGGACCCUUAGAGAGUGGAGGUCGGCUCGCUAAUCCUGGGUUCGUCCGUUCUCUGCCAGAUGUCGGAUGCUGGGAGCCGAAGAUCCACAGGGGAGGAAGAGAAACUUGGCUUGGGGUUUUGCAGGUGGCGGAGGUGGGGCCACUGGCCUGAGCCCCUUGGCCCCCGACGCUGAUUUCCUGGGACUCUAACGACCACGGCAUGCAAAGGCAAUGAGAUGGCAUCGCUAGCCUCAUAUCGACAAACGAAGGAACCAAGGCUCAGAGAGGGACACAAUAAACAUCCUGAUGGCGGGGAACAUUUUCAUGGGACCUUCAUCCAAGAAGCAUACAAUCCAUCCACUCAUCCAACAAAUGUUUCCUGAGCACCUGUUAUGUACCAGAUACCGGGCUGGCAGCUGGGGCUGCAGCCACACGUAGCCCCGACCCAUGGAGCACCACUUAAUGGAGAAAAGCAAAGAAGCUAAUAAGCAACCAGCUAAGUAAAUAAAAUAAUUAUAGACCAUGAUCA
rnacentral:lncRNA from 1 species